GACGAACGCUGGCGGCGUGGAUUAGGCAUGCAAGUCGAACGGUAUCAUCCUUUCGGGGGUGAGAGAGUGGCGAACUGGUGAGUAACACGUAGGUUAUCUACCCUCAAGACGGGGACAACCCAGGGAAACUUGGGCUAAUACCGGAUGUGAGCAACUUUUAGUUGUUUGAAAGGUGGCGUAAGCUGUCGCUUGGGGAUGAGCCUGCGUCCUAUUAGUUAGUUGGUGAGGUAACGGCUCACCUAGGCAAUGAUAGGUAGGCGGCCUUAACGGGUGGUCGCCCACACUGGGAUUGAGAUACGGCCCAGACUCCUACGGGAGGCAGCAGUCGAGAAUAGUCUACAAUGGUCGGAAGACUGAUAGUGCGACGCCGCGUGAACGAUGAAUCCCUUCGGGGUGUAAAGUUCUUUUAUAUGUGAGCAGUGCUUCUUAUAUUAACAGUAUGGGGAGAGAGAUAUUAGCAUAUGAAUAAGCAACGGCUAACUCCGUGCCCAGCAGCCCGCGGUAAAACGUA
rnacentral:rRNA from 1 species